AUUGAACGCUGGCGGCGUGCCUAACACAUGCAAGUCGAGCGGUAACAGGUGUAGCAAUACAUGCUGACGAGCGGCGAACGGGUGAGUAAUGCUUUGGAAUCUUCCCAGUAGUGGGGAAUAACCAGUCGAAAGAUUGGCUAAUACCGCAUACGUCUGUAAAGGGAAAGCGGGGGCUCGUAAGACCUCGCGCUAUUGGAUGAGCCAAAGUCGGAUUAGCUAGUUGGGGGGUAAUGGCCUACCAAGGCGACAAUCCGUAGCUGGUCUGAGAGGACGACCAGCCACACCGGAACUGAGACACGGUCCGGACUCCUACGGGAGGCAGCAGUGGGGAAUAUUGGACAAUGGGGGAAACCUGAUCCAGCGACGCCGCGUGUGUGAAGAAGGUCUGCGGGUUGUAAAGCACUUUUAGUGGGGACAAAAAGCUACGGAUUAAUACUCUGUGGUCUUGAUUUAACCCAAAGAAAAAGCACCGGCUAACUCUGUGCCAGCCGCCGCCGUAAC
rnacentral:rRNA from 1 species